GAUGAACGCUGGCGGCGUGCCUAAUACAUGCAAGUCGAGCGAACAGACGAGGAGCUUGCUCCUCUGACGUUAGCGGCGGACGGGUGAGUAACACGUGGAUAACCUACCUAUAAGACUGGGAUAACUUCGGGAAACCGGAGCUAAUACCGGAUAAUAUAUUGAACCGCAUGGUUCAAUAGUGAAAGACGGUUUUGCUGUCACUGAUAGAUGUAUCCGCGCCGCAUUAGCUAGUUGGUAAGGUAACGGCUUACCAAGGCGACGAUGCGUAGCCGACCUGAGAGGGUGAUCGGCCACACUGGAACUGAGACACGGUCCAGACUCCUACGGGAGGCAGCAGUAGGGAAUCUUCCGCAAUGGGCGUAAGCCUGACGGAGCAACGCCGCGUGAGUGAUGAAGGUCUUCGGAUCGUAAAACUCUGUUAUUAGGGAAGAACAAAUGUGUAAGUAACUAUGCACGUCUUGACGGUACCUAAUCAGAAAGCCACGGCUAACUACGUG
rnacentral:rRNA from 1 species